GGGGAUGUAGCUCAAUGGCACAGCACCUGUCUGGCAAGCAUAAGGCCCUGCGUUUGAUUCCCGGCAUCCUGG
rnacentral:tRNA from 1 species